UAAGUAGCUGCACAAGAGGGGUUGUGAAAUACUCAGAGGCAGAAAUAGGAAUCCGGGGCUUUUGUUUCAAUUGUGAAAAAUCUGAGGGGGCAAGAAGACAAAUCAGUGCUUUGAUUUCAUUUGGGUGAGGCUGAUAAAGCGCUGAACUACUGGGAGAGGAACACAGGUGGAAAUUCUUCAAGAAAAACCUGUUUUGGGCCUGGAAACAGUCCGUGAGUCUCUAGUUUGGGACCAUGUCUGAAAAAAGAUGAAAUUCUGUGUAAAACUGACACCUGGUAUUUAUUAUGAUGGAAUCCAUUUCUCAAGGCUCCUGGAAGUCAAAGAAGUUGCUGAAGCCCAACAUAUCAUUUCUCUCCAGCUGUCCCCAAUGACUUGUGGAUACCAUUUCCUAAUAUUCUGUGGUUUGAAGAUUUGUUACAAAAAUUCAUGCUGGACUAGAUUUAAUACCCAAAUUAGGAUGUAUAAUUUCAAUAAAUCUCAAU